rnacentral:rRNA from 1 species
UACGUAGGGUGCAAGCGUUAAUCGGAAUUACUGGGCGUAAAGCGUGCGCAGGCGGUUCUUCAAGUCCGUUGUGAAAGCCCCGGGCUCAACCUGGGAAUGGCAGUGGAAACUAGGGGACUGGAAUCUGGCAGAGGGGGGUGGAAUGCCGCGUGUAGCAGUGAAAUGCGUAGAGAUGCGGCGGAACACCGAUGGCGAAGGCAGCCCCCUGGGCUGAGAUUGACGCUCAGGCACGAAAGCGUGGGGAGCAAACAGG